AAAUUGAAGAGUUUGAUCAUGGCUCAGAUUGAACGCUGGCGGCAGGCCUAACACAUGCAAGUCGAACGGUAACAGGAAUCAGCUUGCUGAUUCGCUGACGAGUGGCGGACGGGUGAGUAAUGUCUGGGAAACUGCCUGAUGGAGGGGGAUAACUACUGGAAACGGUAGCUAAUACCGCAUAAUGUCGCAAGACCAAAGAGGGGGACCUUCGGGCCUCUUGCCAUCGGAUGUGCCCAGAUGGGAUUAGCUAGUAGGUGGGGUAACGGCUCACC
rnacentral:rRNA from 1 species